UUUUUUCUUCAGCUAGUGUCUUCAAGAAUCGAUAAAUUGUAUUAGUUUUUUUAAGAACACAGGUUUUGGCCUGGUUUAUAUUUUCUGUUAUUUGUUUCCAGUCUCCCUUAUGUCUGUUAAAUCCCAGGCUCCAAACCUCCUAGGGUUAAUGGUCAUUUCCUGCCGACUCCUCUGAAUCCCACUGUUUCCAUGGAUCUUGUCCAUCUAUAGCUGGAUGCCUCUUGAC